rnacentral:rRNA from 1 species
UACGUAGGGGGCGAGCGUUGUCCGAAGUUACUGGGCGUAAAGAGCGCGUAGGCUGGUCUUUAAGUGAGUGGUGAAAGGUUCGGGCUCAACCCGGACACUGCCUUUCAUACUGGGGACCUUGAGUGUGGGAGAGGCGAGUGGAAUGGUCGGUGUAGCGGUGAAAUGCGUAGAUAUCGAUCGGAACACCCAUGGCGAAGGCAGCUCGCUGGCCUAACACUGACGCUGAGGCGCGAAAGCGUGGGUAGCAAACAGG